AGAUUGAACGCUGGCGGCAGGCCUAACACAUGCAAGUCGAGCGGUAGAGAGGUGCUUGCACCUCUUGAGAGCGGCGGACGGGUGAGUAAUGCCUAGGAAUCUGCCUAGUGGUGGGGGAUAACGUUCGGAAACGGACGCUAAUACCGCAUACGUCCUACGGGAGAAAGCGGGGGACCUUCGGGCCUCGCGCCAUUAGAUGAGCCUAGGUCGGAUUAGCUAGUUGGUGAGGUAAUGGCUCACCAAGGCGACGGAUCCGUAACUGGUCUGAGAGGAUGAUCAGCCACACU
rnacentral:rRNA from 1 species